rnacentral:rRNA from 1 species
AUGAUGUGAGCGGGAAGUGCUUGCACUAAACAAUCUUUUCAUAACUUAGUGGCGGACGGGUGAGUAACGCGUGGGUAACCUGCCCUGUACUGGGGGACAACAGUUGGAAACGACUGCUAAUACCGCAUAAGCGCACGGGAUCGCAUGAUCCUGUGUGAAAAACUCCGGUGGUACAGGAUGGACCCGCGUCUGAUUAGCUGGUGGUGAGGUAACGGCCCACCAAGGCAACGAUCAGUAGCCGGCCUGAGAGGGUGAACGGCCACAUUGGGACUGAGACACGGCCCAAACUCCUACGGGAGGCAGCAGUGGGGAAUAUUGCACAAUGGGGGAAACCCUGAUGCAGCGACGCCGCGUGAGUGAAGAAGUAUUUCGGUAUGUAAAGCUCUAUCAGCAGGGAAGAAAAUGACGGUACCUGACUAAGAAGCCCCGGCUAACUACGUGCCAGCAGCCGCGGUAAUACGUAGGGGGCAAGCGUUAUCCGGAUUUACUGGGUGUAAAGGGAGCGUAGACGGCAUGGCAAGUCUGAAGUGAAAUGCGGGGGCUCAACCCCUGAACUGCUUUGGAAACUGUCAGGCUGGAGUGCAGGAGAGGUAAGUGGAAUUCCUAGUGUAGCGGUGAAAUGCGUAGAUAUUAGGAGGAACACCAGUGGCGAAGGCGGCUUACUGGACUGUAACUGACGUUGAGGCUCGAAAGCGUGGGGAGCAAACAGGAUUAGAUACCCUGGUAGUCCACGCCGUAAACGAUGAUUACUAGGUGUUGGGGAUUAAUAAAUCCUCGGUGCCGUCGCAAACGCAAUAAGUAAUCCACCUGGGGAGUACGUUCGCAAGAAUGAAACUCAAAUGAAUUGACGG